GCGAGGGAUGACAGACAAUUCGACAACAAAGCACAGUUUGACCUGAUGCAUCGCUGAACGACAACGUC